ncrna:21S ribosomal RNA from Saccharomyces cerevisiae (PDB 3J6B, chain A)
CACCUAAAACAUAAGGUUUAACUAUAAAAGUACGGCCCCUAAUUAAAUUAAUAAGAAUAUAAAUAUAUUUAAGAUGGGAUAAUCUAUAUUAAUAAAAAUUUAUCUUAAAAUAUAUAUAUUAUUAAUAAUUAUAUUAAUUAAUUAAUAAUAUAUAUAAUUAUAUUAUAUAUUAUAUAUUUUUUAUAUAAUAUAAACUAAUAAAGAUCAGGAAAUAAUUAAUGUAUACCGUAAUGUAGACCGACUCAGGUAUGUAAGUAGAGAAUAUGAAGGUGAAUUAGAUAAUUAAAGGGAAGGAACUCGGCAAAGAUAGCUCAUAAGUUAGUCAAUAAAGAGUAAUAAGAACAAAGUUGUACAACUGUUUACUAAAAACACCGCACUUUGCAGAAACGAUAAGUUUAAGUAUAAGGUGUGAACUCUGCUCCAUGCUUAAUAUAUAAAUAAAAUUAUUUAACGAUAAUUUAAUUAAAUUUAGGUAAAUAGCAGCCUUAUUAUGAGGGUUAUAAUGUAGCGAAAUUCCUUGGCCUAUAAUUGAGGUCCCGCAUGAAUGACGUAAUGAUACAACAACUGUCUCCCCUUUAAGCUAAGUGAAAUUGAAAUCGUAGUGAAGAUGCUAUGUACCUUCAGCAAGACGGAAAGACCCUAUGCAGCUUUACUGUAAUUAGAUAGAUCGAAUUAUUGUUUAUUAUAUUCAGCAUAUUAAGUAAUCCUAUUAUUAGGUAAUCGUUUAGAUAUUAAUGAGAUACUUAUUAUAAUAUAAUGAUAAUUCUAAUCUUAUAAAUAAUUAUUAUUAUUAUUAUUAAUAAUAAUAAUAUGCUUUCAAGCAUAGUGAUAAAACAUAUUUAUAUGAUAAUCACUUUACUUAAUAGAUAUAAUUCUUAAGUAAUAUAUAAUAUAUAUUUUAUAUAUAUUAUAUAUAAUAUAAGAGACAAUCUCUAAUUGGUAGUUUUGAUGGGGCGUCAUUAUCAGCAAAAGUAUCUGAAUAAGUCCAUAAAUAAAUAUAUAAAAUUAUUGAAUAAAAAAAAAAUAAUAUAUAUUAUAUAUAUUAAUUAUAAAUUGAAAUAUGUUUAUAUAAAUUUAUAUUUAUUGAAUAUAUUUUAGUAAUAGAUAAAAAUAUGUACAGUAAAAUUGUAAGGAAAACAAUAAUAACUUUCUCCUCUCUCGGUGGGGGUUCACACCUAUUUUUAAUAGGUGUGAACCCCUCUUCGGGGUUCCGGUUCCCUUUCGGGUCCCGGAACUUAAAUAAAAAUGGAAAGAAUUAAAUUAAUAUAAUGGUAUAACUGUGCGAUAAUUGUAACACAAACGAGUGAAACAAGUACGUAAGUAUGGCAUAAUGAACAAAUAACACUGAUUGUAAAGGUUAUUGAUAACGAAUAAAAGUUACGCUAGGGAUAACAGGGUAAUAUAGCGAAAGAGUAGAUAUUGUAAGCUAUGUUUGCCACCUCGAUGUCGACUCAACAUUUCCUCUUGGUUGUAAAAGCUAAGAAGGGUUUGACUGUUCGUCAAUUAAAAUGUUACGUGAGUUGGGUUAAAUACGAUGUGAAUCAGUAUGGUUCCUAUCUGCUGAAGG